CCAGCAGUCCUGACUGUCAGAAGGCAGCUGCUGUUGCUAGGAGCAAGCGAAGGGUACAGACAAAAUUGAUUCGAGUUGGACUGUGAUGACAGCUAUGAAUGCAAGUCCUACUUCUGGAAGGGCACACUAGCUUUUAUGAGGAGGGAGCAUUCAAAGAUGAAGGAGACAUGCAACAACCUUCUUUAUUCUUUUGCACAAGUCUGCCUACACCCAAGGGGACAGGAUUAUACAAGGCACAUCACGGCUUUCUUGUGCUUAGGAACACUGGGCAGCACUUUGGCACUGUGUUUGGGAGCCAUUUUAAACAGUGAAAUAACCAAUAAAAGCACAAAAAUGAGAAAACUGUGGCACUAAAUAGACUGUGAAAAGGACACUUGCUUAUAGGAUGAGUUGAAACAAGAAGGCGAGCCUCGCCGUGUUCCACCUCCGCUGGGAAUGUGUCCAUUGGGUGACUCACUGCUCUGUAUGUGUCUGUGAAAGACCGUGGAAGUGCAAGGUGCCCUUCAUUAUGGCUCAACAUUGCUCACUCUACUCUGCCUCCUAAGCCAUUACUUCUCUUUAUACCUAUAAUUAAAAGUAGACACAGUUUCAAGAAUGAAGUCAAGUUGAAUUCUUCAGAGAACUCAAGACAAAUAAGGUGCCUGCGUCCUGAUGCUUCGCUUCCUUGGGAGUGGAGGGAGGAGCCAUCGCAGUCCUUUCCUGCAUAAUGAUUCCAUUUUGGACUAUCUUAAGCUCUCAAAGAAAUUCCACAAUACCGAACUCCGAAAGAGAAGGUGGUUAAGAUGCUAUGAUUCCUUUUUUUACAAGAAAUUCUUUUUAAGAUUUUUAAGCAAAGAUUCCCAUUGUUUCUCUAGUAGCAACCAGGAACAAAUAGUGAGCAAUAUUGGGAAGAGGAUGUCUGUGCCAAAUUAAAAACAGCAUCUAUUAUGUUUCUAUGUAAUGUAUUAUGUGGCUGUAAUACUGCCUUUUUACAAAUACUGGCAUUUUGAAAACUGUAAGAAAUUAAACUUUGUUCACUCUUAAAUAUGAAUUUGAUUUUAAGGAAAUUACUUAUUUAGAAAGUAGGGGUUAACAAAAAACCCCCACGUUUAUUGAGUUGUGGGUUAAAUUUUCCCCUAAUCUUGGCAAGUGGCAGUACACCAAUAUCUUAGUCUAUUUCUGGCUAUUUAUUGGCGCCUACAAAUACACUCCAGUAUUCC
rnacentral:lncRNA from 1 species